CCACCUCUUAGGGUUCCUCUGGGGUAAGUGAUUGCUUCUACACUGUGAAAAUUUGGCUGAGAGACUCAGACUGGUCAUGGGUAGACCUAUCUGGGGUUUGAUCGAUGCCACUCCUGGUUUCAGGAGCACCCUUCAUAAUAAACCUAGAAAUUCAGUAUUAUAAAGUUUAAUAAAAAACAACUUUUAACAAUGGAUCUCUUGGUUCUCGCAUCGAUGAAGAACGUAGCAAAGUGCGAUAACUAGUGUGAAUUGCAUAUUCAGUGAAUCAUCGAGUCUUUGAACGCAGCUUGCACUCUAUGGUUUUUCUAUAGAGUACGCCUGCUUCAGUAUCAUCACAAACCCACACAUAACAUUUGUUUAUGUGGUAAUGGGUCGCAUCGCUGUUUUAUUACAGUGAGCACCUAAAAUGUGUGUGAUUUUCUGUCUGGCUUGCUAGGCAGGAAUAUUACGCUGGUCUCAGGAUCUUUUUCUUUGGUUCGCCCAGGAAGUAAAGUACAAGAGUAUAAUCCAGCAACUUUCAAACUAUGAU
rnacentral:rRNA from 1 species